AACGUAGGAGACAAACGUUAUCCGGAGUUACUGGGCGUAAAGGGCGUGUAGGUGGUUUCGUAAGUCUGGCGUGAAAUUUUUCGGCUUAACCGGGAAAGGUCGUCGGAUACUGCGGGACUAGAGGACGGUAGAGGCGUGUGGAAUUCCGGGUGUAGUGGUGAAAUGCGUAGAGAUCCGGAGGAACACCAGUGGCGAAGGCGGUGCUCUGGGCCGGAACUGACGCUGAGGAGCGAAAGCGUGGGGAGCAAACAGG
rnacentral:rRNA from 1 species